rnacentral:rRNA from 1 species
UACAGAGGGGGCAAGCGUUGUUCGGAAUUACUGGGCGUAAAGGGCGCGUAGGCGGCCCUCUAAGUCGAACGUGAAAUCCCCGGGCUCAACCCGGGAACUGCGUCCGAUACUGGAAGGCUUGAAUCCGGGAGAGGGAUGCGGAAUUCCAGGUGUAGCGGUGAAAUGCGUAGAUAUCUGGAGGAACACCGGUGGCGAAGGCGGGUCUCUGGGCAGUAACUGACGCUGAGGAGCGAAAGCGUGGGGAGCGAACAGG